GAUGAACGCUGGCGGCGUGCCUAAUACAUGCAAGUCGAGCGAACAGACGAGGAGCUUGCUUCUCUUACGUUAGCGGCGGACGGGUGAGUAACACGUGGAUAACCUACAUAUAAGGAUGGGAUAACUUAGGGAAACCGGAGAUAAUACAGGAUAUUAUAUUGAACGGCAUGGUUCAUUAGUGAAAGACGGAUUUGCUGUCCCUUAUAGAUGGUACCGCGCCGCAUUAGCUAGUUGGUAAGGUAACGGCUUACCAAGGCAACGAUGCGUAGCCGACCUGAGAGGGUGAUCAGCCACACUGGAACUGAGACACGGUCCAGACUCCUACGGGAGGCAGCAGUAGGGAAUCUUCCGCAAAGGGCGAAAGCCUGACGGAGCAACGCCGCGUGAGUGAUGAAGGUCUUCGGAUCGUAAAACUCUGUUAUUAGGGAAGAACAAAUGUGUAAGUAACUAUGCACGUCUUGACGGUACCUAAUCAGAAAGCCACGGCUAACUUCGUG
rnacentral:rRNA from 1 species